CUUCCAGACGCUCCGCCCCACGUCGCAUGCGCCCCGGGAAAGCGUGGGGCGGAGCUUCCGGAGGCC
rnacentral:pre_miRNA from 1 species